rnacentral:rRNA from 1 species
UACGUAGGGGGCGAGCGUUGUCCGGAUUUAUUGGGCGUAAAGAGCGUGUAGGCGGCCAGGUAGGUCUGCUGUGAAAACUCGAGGCUCAACCUCGAGACGUCGGCGGAAACCAUCAGACUAGAGUCCGGAAGAGGAGAGUGGAAUUCCUGGUGUAGCGGUGAAAUGCGCAGAUAUCAGGAAGAACACCCGUGGCUAAGGCGGCUCUCUAGUACGGUACUGACGCUGAGACGCGAAAGCGUGGGGAGCGAACAGG